rnacentral:rRNA from 1 species
GGGGGUGCAAGCGUUGUUCGGAAUUAUUGGGCGUAAAGAGCGUGUAGGCGGCCUGAUGUGUCAGAUGUGAAAGCCCUGGGCUUAACCCAGGAAGUGCAUUUGAAACUGUCAGGCUUGAGCAGGGAGAGGGAAGUGGAAUUCCUGGUGUAGAGGUGAAAUUCGUAGAUAUCAGGAGGAACACCGGUGGCGAAGGCGACUUCCUGGCCCUAUACUGACGCUGAGACGCGAGAGCGUGGGUAGCAAACAGGAUUAGAUACCCUGGUAGUCCACGCCGUAAACGAUGUUCACUAGGUGUUGGGGGUAUUGACCCCCUCAGUGCCGGAGCUAACGCGUUAAGUGAACCGCCUGGGGAGUACGGUCGCAAGACUAAAACUCAAAGGAAUUGACGGGGGCCCGCACAAGCGGUGGAGCAUGUGGUUUAAUUCGAUGCAACGCGAAGAACCUUACCUGGGCUUGACAUCCACGGAACCUGCUGGAAACAGCAGGGUGCCCUUCGGGGAGCCGUGAGACAGGUGCUGCAUGGCUGUCGUCAGCUCGUGUCGUGAGAUU